rnacentral:rRNA from 1 species
GACGAACGCUGGCGGCGUGCUUAACACAUGCAAGUCGAACGGAAAGGCCCUGCUUGCAGGGUACUCGAGUGGCGAACGGGUGAGUAACACGUGGGUGAUCUGCCCUGCACUUCGGGAUAAGCUUGGGAAACUGGGUCUAAUACCGGAUAGGACCGCACUUUAGUGUGGGUGGUGGAAAGUUUUUUCGGUGUAGGAUGAGCUCGCGGCCUAUCAGCUUGUUGGUGGGGUAAUGGCCUACCAAGGCGGCGACGGGUAGCCGGCCUGGGAGGGUGUACGGCCACAUUGGGACUGAGAUACGGCCCAGACUCCUACGGGAGGCAGCAGUGGGGAAUAUUGCACAAUGGGGGCAAGCCUGAUGCAGCGACGCCGCGUGGGGGAUGAAGGCCUUCGGGUUGUAAACUCCUUUCGCUAGGGACGAAGCUUUUUGUGACGGUACUUAGAUAAGAAGCACCGGCUAACUACGUG